CUCUUCGGGGAUGAUUAAACCGGCGCACGGGUGAGUAACACGUGAGUGACCUGCCUUUUAGACUGGAACAACUUACCGAAAGGUGAGCUAAUGCCGGAUGAGUUAUAUAAGUGCAUGUUUAUAUAGGAAAAGUUGGGGAGACCUGACGCUGAAAGAUGGACUCGCGUCCCAUUAGCUAGUUGGUAGGGUAAUGGCCUACCAAGGCGACGAUGGGUAGCCGGCCUGAGAGGGUGGCCGGCCACACUGGGACUGAGACACGGCCCAGACUCCUACGGGAGGCAGCAGUGGGGAAUCUUGCGCAAUGCUCGUAAGAGUGACGCAGCGACGCCGCGUGAAUGACGAAGGCCUUCGGGUCGUAAAGUUCUUUCGACAGGGAAGAAAAUGCCUAUAAGUAACUGUGUAUGUAUUGACGGUACCUGUAUAAGCAGCCCCG
rnacentral:rRNA from 1 species